AGCGCAGGCGGUGAUUUAAGUCUGAUGUGAAAGCCCACGGCUCAACCGUGGAAGGUCAUUGGAAACUGGAUCACUUGAGUGCAGAAGAGGAAAGUGGAAUUCCAUGUGUAGCGGUGAAAUGCGUAGAUAUAUGGAGGAACACCAGUGGCGAAGGCGACUUUCUGGUCUGUAACUGACGCUGAGGCUCGAAAGCAUGGGGAGCAAACAG
rnacentral:rRNA from 1 species